AAGAGAAGGUUUUUCCUAACUUU
rnacentral:snRNA from 1 species